ACGGGCGGUGUGUACAANNCCCGGGAACGUAUUCACCGCGGCAUGCUGAUUCGCGAUUACUAGCGAUUCCAACUUCAUGUAGGCGGGUUGCAGACUACAAUCCGAACUGAGACCGUAUUUANNNGAUUGGCUCACUUUUUUNNNNCNNCNUUCCUUGGUUUACGCCAUUGUAGCACGUGUGUAGCCCAAAUCAUAAGGGGCAUGAUGAUUUGACGUCAUCCCCACCUUCCUCCAGGUUGUCCCUGGCAGUCUUCCUAGAGUGCCCAUGUUACUGCUGGCUUCUAAGGANNAGGGCUGCGCUCGGUGCUGGACUUAACCUGUCAUGUCACGACCCGAGCUGACCACUGCCAUGCACGACCUGG
rnacentral:rRNA from 1 species